GAUCUGGUGGAGAAGGACGGUAUCAGGAUGGUGCCACUUCAGGAUGAAGAACACAGGGACUGCUUAGGAUGAGUGAAGGGAUGUUUCAGGAUGAAACCAAGGACACCUCCAGGAUGGAGAUUGAGAGCCAGUUCAGGAUGAUUGGUGGGUUAGGAUAACCUUAGGAUUGACGCCGGGAUGGUGUAGGACAACGCGACGGAUUGCUGGUUAGGAUAACCACACGGAAAAGUUUUCAAGGAUUGAGCAGGGAGCAUCAAUUUUAGCUGGAUUGCUAUGAAACGAAUUGAGGGGUACUGGUAAAACAGUACCCCUUUUUUUAUCU
rfam:Yersinia frederiksenii ATCC 33641 contig00129, whole genome shotgun sequence.